GCUUCAAACCCAGGCCAGAGCUUUGCCAUAGAGUAUCCCAAUCCUGAGAGCCCUGGUGUAUUGCCUUGAUAUCCUUCUGACUUUUUGCUGUGGGGGUUUGGAACAGAGCCCUCCCUGCAGCUGAGGCACAGCUGUGUUGUAUUUACCUGCCGAUCUCACAGCUCCUUUUCCUGGCAAAUCCUGAGCUGGCAGCAGAUGAGUGGGAACACUGCACCAAAACCUGUUGGAAUUCCAGCUUCCAGCUCUGCGUGGAGCACUACAUCCAGAUGUGAACACUCACCAGAACAAUUCUGCCAUGGACCGAGGGAACCCUCAGGACUUGUCUUGCUCGUUUCUCCCUGGAAAGAGACAUGGCACAAGCACCUUCACAGCUAUUGGAAAAAUCCUGGAAAGGGCAGGAAAUCAGGGUUAUUUGGAAGUGUUUUGUGCUGUCACACAUCAGUUCACCAGUGUUGCUCCAUAGCCCAGUGCCAGCUGUAGAGCUCUGCCCCACAGAUGUUCCAAGAUCUGGCAUUUAAAGCAGCAUUAGCAUAAAAGGAGCUGCAUUGGCAUAGGAAUUACCUUGUUGGUAUUUCCAAUUCCCAGCCUGGAAUUCCAGAUGACCCAGAGAUCAGCUCAGCUGUUUUGAGCAGGGUGCUGCAAACACCAAAGGUUGUGGGUUCAGUCACUGGAUGGGCCAUUCACUUAGAGGUCAACUUCAUAAUCCUUGUGGGUCCCUUCUAUCUCAUGAUAUCCUGUGACCUGGAAACACAGAUUAAACAUCUCAACUAGACUUUUACAAACGGA